UCUGUGCCAGCAGCCGCGGUAAUACAGAGGGUGCAAGCGUUAAUCGGAAUUACUGGGCGUAAAGCGCACGCAGGCGGUUUGUUAAGCUAGAUGUGAAAGCCCCGGGCUCAACCUGGGAUGGUCAUUUAGAACUGGCAGACUAGAGUCUUGGAGAGGGGAGUGGAAUUCCAGGUGUAGCGGUGAAAUGCGUAGAUAUCUGGAGGAACAUCAGUGGCGAAGGCGACUCCCUGGCCAAAGACUGACGCUCAUGUGCGAAAGUGUGGGGAGCGAACAGGAUUAGAUACCCUGGUAGUCCAUGCCGUAAACGUUGGGCGCUAGGUGUGG
rnacentral:rRNA from 1 species